rnacentral:misc_RNA from 1 species
CGGUCGGUGCAUGAGUGGGUACACGAGACGCUAGAUGUAGGCACCGAUCGGGGACACACUGGAUGGCAUAUCAGUUGGUUAACGAUGGUUAUUGGUGGGAUACGAGUUGGUACACUAGUCGGUAUACGAUCAUGACGCCCCCGAGUGGGCACGUCGUUUGGGCCUUGCCYUUGAYGGCGUGCUUGCGUCAACGGUUGGCCUAGGCCAACCGGGUCGAAAUGACGAUGUGGCUACACAACGUCAUGGAGGCAUGUCCCUACACAAUGGUUGAUCCUAGCUUCAAGAUAUCAGUACGAUAUUGAUCAYCCGUUGUGCCUCGACGCAUGUUGGUUUUUUYUGUUUUCUUUGUUACUUUCGCAUCGCUCGGUGCAUUCUGGGGGCUGUUUUGGCUUUUGGUUGCUUGCUUGGCWUUUUUGUCGGGUGGGUGGCUACUAGUUGGGCGGUUUUCGGGAAUGUCGACCGUAAAGGUGCAUGAGUGGUGUUUGGUUUGUUACGGGUGGUUGGCUGUCUGCUCGCGCAGCAACGUCCAYGCGUGCAUACCUCUUCAGUUUUGCGGCAAGGCUUAGAUUGUCUUGAGCAUAUUGUGGGUUUCCUGUGUUGCAUACCUAAUCGAUGGUAAYGUGUGGGUUUUAUGAUGUCCCUAUUCGUCAUGCGUCGCUCAUGUGACGUUGGAUGAACGUUGAAGCGGUCUUUGUGAUCCAUCUUGUUGUUGCAUUUGCAACAAUGAUGUGGCCUAUGAAGCAUUGCUUGGUCUCUCGUAUACAGAAYCUAAUGUGGGCAUGGGUCUUGUAAGAUCCUGAAUUUGCCCUCGUUAAGCGUUCUCGCUUCUCCAAAACGAUUGUCCACCAUGUACUGGCUUGUCCAUGCAUGGUGGGCUACGUCGA